rnacentral:rRNA from 2 species
CAAUGGAGAGUUUGAUCCUGGCUCAGGAUGAACGCUGGCGGUAUGCUUAACACAUGCAAGUCGAACGGGCUCUUCGGAGCUAGUGGCGGACGGGUGAGUAACGCGUGAGUAUCUGCCUACAGGACUGGGACAACGACUGGAAACGGUCGCUAAAACCGGAUGUGCCGAGAGGUGAAAUAUUAAUAGCCUGUAGAUGAGCUUGCGUCUGAUUAGCUAGUUGGUGGGGUAAGGGCCUACCAAGGCGACGAUCAGUAGCUGGUCUGAGAGGACGAUCAGCCACACUGGGACUGAGACACGGCCCAGACUCCUACGGGAGGCAGCAGUGG